AGCUUUAUAGUUAAAAAAUUAAUAUUAAACUGCAAUUUUAAAGUUGAAUUUAUUCUAAGGCUU
rnacentral:tRNA from 1 species